UACAGAGGGUGCGAGCGUUGUCCGGAAUCACUGGGCGUAAAGAGUGUGUAGGCGGUGCUCUAAGUUCGGUGUGAAAUCUCCUGGCUCAACUGGGAGGGUGCGCCGGAAACUGGAGUGCUUGAGCGUGGGAGAGGAAAGCGGAAUUCCUGGUGUAGCGGUGAAAUGCGUAGAUAUCAGGAGGAACACCUGUGGUGUAGACGCUUUCUGGACCAUAGCUGACGCUGAGACACGAAAGCGUGGGGAGCAAACAGGAUUAGACUACCC
rnacentral:rRNA from 1 species